UGCGCAGGCGGUUUUGUAAGCCAGAUGUGAAAUCCCCGGGCUUAACCUGGGAACUGCAUUUGGGACUGCAAGGCUGGAGUACGGCAGAGGGAGGUGGAAUUCCAGGUGUAGCAGUGAAAUGCGUAGAGAUCUGGAGGAACACCGAUGGCGAAGGCAGCCUCCUGGGCUAGUACUGACGCUCAUGCACGAAAGCGUGGGGAGCAAACAGGAUUAGAUACCCUGGUAGUCCACGCCCUAAACGAUGACAACUAGUUGUUGGGGAUUUAACAUCCUUAGUAACGCAGCUAACGCGUGAAGUUGUCCGCCUGGGGAGUACGGUCGCAAGAUUAAA
rnacentral:rRNA from 1 species